rnacentral:misc_RNA from 1 species
GUUUUCUCCUCUAAUCAACUUAUCUCAACUCAGUUAGGCCACAAUACCAAGCUAGGCAGACUGAUUAUUCUUUUCCUCCAUUUGGCUUUGUUAGGAGCAUAUUUUAUUCUCUAUUACCAUAAAAGAUUAUUAAAGAUGACCUAAACUUGUAAAUAUUGGAAUUGAUUCCUUUACUUGUCAUCAGCAAUUUAGAAGCACAGUAAUUCACACGUAGUUGCAUUUAUUUUCAAUGUUUUCAUUGCAUGUUAUCAUAACACCAAUGUUAGCGCACAUUAUAAGUCAACACAAUUUGGCUAAUUGUCCUCUUGAUCUUUCAUUGAAUUAGGAAGAUGUUCACUCGGCCUUCCCUUAAUCAAUGCUUAAAGAACCUAA